GAUGAACGCUGGCGGCGUGCCUAAUACAUGCAAGUCGAGCGAACGGACGAGAAGCUUGCUUCUCUGAUGUUAGCGGCGGACGGGUGAGUAACACGUGGAUAACCUACCUAUAAGACUGGGAUAACUUCGGGAAACCGUAGCUAAUACCGGAUAAUAUUUUGAACCGCAUGGUUCAAAAGUGAAAGACGGUCUUGCUGUCACUUAUAGAUGGAUCCGCGCUGCAUUAGCUAGUUGGUAAGGUAACGGCUUACCAAGGCAACGAUGCCUAGCCGACCUGAGAGGGUGAUCGGCCACCCUGGAACUGAGACACGGUCCAGACUCCUACGGGAGGCAGCAGUAGGGAAUCUUCCGCAAUGGGCGAAAGCCUGACGGAGCAACGCCGCGUGAGUGAUGAAGGUCUUCGGAUCGUAAAACUCUGUUAUUAGGGAAGAACAUAUGUGUAAGUAACUGUGCACAUCUUGACGGUACCUAAUCAGAAAGCCACGGCUAACUACGUG
rnacentral:rRNA from 1 species